GAGAAACUGAGACGGUCCGGAAAGAGCCGAAGGCGGUGUCCGGGUGGGUGGCAGGAGGUGGAAACAGCCGAAAGAAAAGCAGCCAGGGCUGGACAAUCUCGGCUCACCACAACCUCCGCCCGCCAGGUUCAAGCGAUUCUCCUACCUCAGCCCUCCCGAGUAGCUGGGACUACAGGCUAGAAUGCAAUGGCGCGGUCUCGGCUCACUGCAACUUCUGCCUCCCAGGUUCAAGCGAUUCUGCUGCCUCAGCCUGCUGAGUAUCUAGGAUUACGGGCACCUGUCACCACGUCCAUCUAAUUUUUGUACUUUUAGUAGAGGCAGGGUUUCACCAUGUUGGCCAGGCUGGCCUCGAACUCCUGACCUCAGGUGAUCUGCCGGCCUUAGCCUCCCAAAGUGCUGGGAUUAUAGGUGUGAGCCACCACGCCUGGCAACCUUCGCUACUUUCUGUCAAUUUCCUGUUCCUUUCCCUCUCCCCUACUUUUUGGAUGCUCUUGUAACCAUUUUUUUUUUUUUUUUUUCCCAAGAUUGAGUCUUGCUCUGUUGCCCAGGCUGGAGCGCAGUGGCGAGAUCUCGGCUCACUGCAAGCUCUGCCUCCCAGGUUCACGCCAUUCUCCUGCCUCAGCCUCCUGAGUAGCUGGGACUACAGGUGCCCGCCACCACGCCCAGCUAAUUUUUUUUUUUUUUUUUUUUUUGAGAUGGAGUCUCGCUCUGUCGCCCAGGCUGGAGUGCAGUGGCGCUAUCUCUGCUUGCUGCAAGCUCCGCCUUCUAGCUUCACGCCAUUCUCCUGCCUCAGCCUCCCGAGUAGCUGGGACUACAGGCACCCACCACCAUGCCUGGCUAAUUUUUUUUUUAUUAUUAUUUUUAGUAGAGACGGGGUUUCACUGUGUUAGCCAUGAUGGUCUCAAUCUCCUGACCUCGUGAUCCGCCCGCCUCGGCUUCCCAAAGUGCUGGGAUUACAGGCGUGAGCCACCAUGCAUGGCCAAUUUUUGUAUUUUUAGUAGAGAUGGGGUUUCAUCAUAUUGGCCAAGCUGGUCUCAAACUCCUGACCUCAUGAUCCGCCUGCCUUGGGCUCCCAAAGCGCUGGGAUUACAGGUGUGAGCCACCGCGCCCAGCCAGAAUUUUUUCUUUUUUCUAGAGAAGGGGGUCUCCCUAUGUUGCCCAGUCUGGUCUUGAACACCUGACCUUAAGUGAUUUUCCUACCUCGGCCUCCCAAAGUGGUGGGAUUACAGGUGUGAGCCACUGCGGCCAGCCAGCAAUUAUUAUGCUGACGAAAGACCUGUUUUUUCUCUAGUUCCUGGGUUGGCUCUAGGGAGGGUUAUUCACACUGUGAGUGAGGAGGCAUUCACAGAGAAGUUCCUCCAGAGUGUGGAAGAAGCACUACCAUUUGGCACCAACCCCUGGAGACACCUGGAGAACAAAGGAGGAGACCAUUGGCCAAAGAGGGGCAUUCCAUUUUGUUGGAGCCUGCUGACCACCAACCCGUAGCUUUUUUCCCUUUCUUCCUUGCUAAUCCAGUCGCAGAUUCAUUGAGGAGGUGAGAAGUACUGAGAUCCAGGCUGGAAGAGGAGUGAUUGGUCUACCUGGUUCUCAAGGGAUAAUGUUGCCCCCUAGAGGACAUUUUGGAAAUUAUUAAGGAAAAUUGGUUUUUGGUUGUCAUCUGGUUCUCAAGGGAACAGUAUUGCUUCCUUGGGAGCAUUUUGGAAACUUACCUUUUUUCAUCGUCACAAUGGUGAAGGCUUUGUUACUGGGACUAGAGGUCAAGGACCAGACAUGCCAAGAUGUUCUGCAAUAUAGCAUUCCUAAUUAAUAAUCACCUAAUAAAUAAAGUUCAUGA